GAUGAACGCUGGCGGCGUGCCUAAUACAUGCAAGUCGAGCGAACAGACGAGGAGCUUGCUCCUCUGACGUUAGCGGCGGACGGGUGAGUAACACGUGGAUAACCUACCUAUAAGACUGGGAUAACUUCGGGAAACCGGAGCUAAUACCGGAUAAUAUAUUGAACCGCAUGGUUCAAUAGUGAAAGACGGUUUUGCUGUCACUUAUAGAUGGAUCCGCGCCGCAUUAGCUAGUUGGUAAGGUAACGGCUUACCAAGGCAACGAUGCGUAGCCGACCUGAGAGGGUGAUCGGCCACACUGGAACUGAGACACGGUCCAGACUCCUACGGGAGGCAGCAGUAGGGAAUCUUCCGCAAUGGGCGAAAGCUUGACGGAGCAACGCCGCGUGAGUGAUGAAGGUCUUCGGAUCGUAAAACUCUGUUAUUAGGGAAGAACAAAUGUGUAAGUAACUAUGCACGUCUUGACGGUACCUAAUCAGAAAGCCACGGCGAACUACGUG
rnacentral:rRNA from 1 species